rnacentral:rRNA from 1 species
CCUACGGGAGGCUGCAGUGAGGAAUAUUGGUCAAUGGCCGAAAGCCUGAACCAGCCAAGUCGCGUGAGGGAAGACGGCCCUACGGGUUGUAAACUUCUUUUGUCCGGGAGCAAAGCGCCUUACGUGUAGCUCUUUGCAUGUACCCUAUGAAAAAGCAUCGGCUAAUUCCGUGCCAGCCGCCGCGGUAAUACGGAGGGUGCGGGCGUUAUCCGGAUUUAUUGGGUUUAAAGGGUGCGUAGGCGGCGGUGCAAGUCGGCGGGAAAAGUGCGGGGCUCAACCCCGCCCUGCCGGUGAAACUGGAGCGCUUGAGUGCGCGAGAAGCAUGCGGAAUGCGUGGUGUAGCGGUGAAAUGCAUAGAUAUCACGCAGAACUCCGAUUGCGAAGGCAGCAUACCGGCGCGCAACUGACGCUGAUGCACGAAAGCGUGGGUAUCGAACAGGAUUAGAUACCCCAGUAGUC